GAUGAACGCUGGCGGCGUGCCUAAUACAUGCAAGUCGAGCGAACAGACGAGGAGCUUGCUCCUCUGACGUUAGCGGCGGACGGGUGAGUAACACGUAGAUAACCUACCUAUAAGACUGGGAUAACUUCGGGAAACCGGCGCUAAUACCGGAUAAUAUAUUGAACCGCAUGGUUCAAUAGUGAAAGACGGUUUUGCUGUCACUUAUAGAUGGAUCCGCGCCGCAUUAGCUAGUUGGUAAGGUAACGGCUUACCAAGGCAACGAUGCGUAGCCGACCUGAGAGGGUGAUCGGCCACACUGGAACUGAGACACGGUCCAGACUCCUACGGGAGGCAGCAGUAGGGAAUCUUCCGCAAUGGGCGAAAGCCUGACGGAGCAACGCCGCGUGAAUGAUGAAGGUCUUCGGAUCGUAAAACUCUGUUAUUAGGGAAGAACAAAUGUGUAAGUAACUAUGCACGUCUUGACGGUACCUAAUCAGAAAGCCACGGCUAACUACGUG
rnacentral:rRNA from 1 species